rnacentral:rRNA from 1 species
UACGGAGGAUGCGAGCGUUAUCCGGAUUUAUUGGGUUUAAAGGGUGCGUAGGUGGCCCCUUAAGUCAGUGGUGAAAGUUUGUCGCUCAACGAUAAAAUUGCCAUUGAAACUGGGGGGCUUGAGUAUGUUUGAGGUAGGCGGAAUGCGUGGUGUAGCGGUGAAAUGCAUAGACAUCACGCAGAACUCCGAUUGCGAAGGCAGCUUACUAAACCAUAACUGACACUGAUGCACGAAAGCGUGGGUAUCAAACAGG